CCUACGGGUGGCAGCAGUGAGGAAUAUUGGUCAAUGGCCGGAAGGCUGAACCAGCCAAGCCGCGUGAGGGAGGAAGGCGCAGAGCGUCGCAGACCUUUUUUGCCGGGGGACAAAAGGCCGGACUCGUCAGGUCCUGAGGGUACCCGGAGAAAAAGCAUCGGAUAACUCCGUGCCAGCAGCCGCGGUAAUACGGGGGAUGCGAGCGUUAUCCGGAUUCAUGGGGUUUAACGGGUGCGCAGGCGGGCCUUUAAGCCGGCGGGGAAAUCGCGGGGCUCAACCCGGCCGAGCCGUCGAAACUGGGAGCCUUGAGUGCGGCAGAGGCAGGCGGAAUGCGCGGUGUAGCGGUGAAAUGCGUAGAGAUCGCGCGGAACCCCGAUGGCGAAGGCAGCGUGCCGGGCCGCCACUGACGCUGAGGCACGAAAGCGCGGGGAUCGAACAGGAUUAGAUACCCGAGUAGUC
rnacentral:rRNA from 1 species